CGACCCCAGGUCAGGCGGGACUACCCGCUGAGUUUAAGCAUAUCAAUAAGCGGAGGAGAAGAAACUUACAAGGAUUCCCCUAGUAACGGCGAGCGAACCGGGAUCAGCCCAGCUUGAGAAUCGGGCGGCUUUGUCGUCCGA
rnacentral:rRNA from 3 species